UUUUCUGAUGACGAGUGGCGCACGGGUGCGUAACGCGUAUGCAAUCUACCUUUUACAGGGGGAUAGCCCAGAGAAAUUUGGAUUAAUAUCCCAUAGUAUCAAGAGUCGGCAUCGGCAUUUGAUUAAAGAUUUAUCGGUAAAAGAUGAGCAUGCGUCCUAUUAGCUAGAUGGUGUGGUAACGGCACACCAUGGCAACGAUAGGUAGGGGCCCUGAGAGGGGGAUCCCCCACACUGGUACUGAGACACGGACCAGACUCCUACGGGAGGCAGCAGUGAGGAAUAUUGGACAAUGGGCGCAAGCCUGAUCCAGCCAUGCCGCGUGCAGGAAGACUGCCCUAUGGGUUGUAAACUGCUUUUAUACGGGAAGAAACACUCCCUCGUGAGGGAGCUUGACGGUACCGUAAGAAUAAGGAUCGGCUAACUCCGUGCCAGCAGCCGCGGUAAUACGGAGGAUCCAAGCGUUAUCCGGAAUCAUUGGGUUUAAAGGGUCCGUAGGUGGAUAAUUAAGUCAGAGGUGAAAUCCUGCAGCUCAACUGUAGAAUUGCCUUUGAUACUGGUUAUCUUGAGUCAUUAUGAAGUGGUUAGAAUAUGUAGUGUAGCGGUGAAAUGCAUAGAUAUUACAUAGAAUACCUAUUGCGAAGGCAGAUCACUAAUAAUGUACUGACACUGA
rnacentral:rRNA from 1 species